rnacentral:rRNA from 1 species
ACUCAAAUGAAUUGACGGGGACCCGCACAAGCGGUGGAGCAUGUGGUUUAAUUCGACGGUAAGCGAGGAACCUUACCAAGGCUUGACAUGUACCUGCAUCUUCUGGAAACAGAAGCGCCUUCGAGGGUGGUACACAGGUGCUGCACGGUUGUCGUCAGCUCGUGUCGUGAGAUGUGCACUUAAGUGUGCGAACGAGCGCAACCCCUAUUGUUGGUUACAAGUGUCCAACGAGACUGCCAGGGUUUAACCUGGAGGAAGGUGGGGAUGACGUCAAAUCAGCGUGGCUCUUACGCCUUGGGCUACACACGUGCUACAAUGGGUAAUUACAAAGGGACGCCAAGGAGCAAUCCGGAGCAAAUCCCGCCAAAAUUACCCCCAGUUCAGAUUGAGGUCUGCAACUCGACCUCAUGAAGCCGGAAUCGCUAGUAACCGUAGAUCAGCCUCGCUACGGUGAAUACGUUCUCGGGUUUUGCACACACCGCCCGU